AUGCCUGAGGCAGCUGGAAUAAAAGAAAACGUGUGGGAGACUCACUUUGGCCAGGGCAGUGAGACUGAGAAAAGACUCUCCGGGUGCGCUGGGACCGGAAGCACUCGCGGAGGCCCCGCCCACCUGGAGCGCUGCCGGGGUGCGCAGCUCGCUCUUUCCCCCAACCUGCUGGUGGUGGUGGCAGCAGGUGCACCCUCGACAUGCAGAACAACCCCCCGCGAGUUCGUGGACUUCUACCUUUGGAGGAAAUGCUCCGCCAGCAACCGCAUCAUCCAUGCCAAGGACCACGCGUCCAUCCAGAUGAACGUGGCCAAGGUCUACAAGGUGACAGGCAGGUUCAACGGCCAGUUUAAAACCUAUGCUAUCUGUGGGGCUAUUCGCAGGAUGGGUGAGUCAGAUGACUCCAUUCUUCGAUUGGCCAAGGCCGACGGCAUCGUUUCAAAGAACUUCUGAUUGGAGAGCAUCACAGAUGUGAAAUUUGUUAUAAAUAAAUAGUGGAACCCCCC